rnacentral:misc_RNA from 1 species
GCGCCUUCGCCGCCCCCGACUCUGUAUGCCCGCCAAACAAAAAAAGGCUUCAAUAUCGAUAUAAUAUACUACCACUAAGAAAACAAAAACAUCACGGUAGUAUAUUUUAAUAGUUUUCGCAUUUUCCCGGUUUAAUAACUCGUUACACUCCUCUUCUAUUUGCCUUGAUUCUUUAUCCAUCUUUUCUUAUCCCAAGCAGAUUACUUGGUUUAGUGUUGAAAAUGUUUAAUUAUUUAUUGGAAGCGUUGCUACUAUUGUAGAAAGUUACAGUGUCAGCUAAACUCAGUAAAUCUGCUGAGUUCUUCCGAAGGUCUCAAAAUUGAAUGGGGAAGAUAAUUUAGACCCACUUUUCACUCAAUAGAAGCACGCAAGCAGCUUCUUCUAUGCAAGCUCUAGCAGUCCAGCGCAGCAAAUGCCAGCGCGCGGGUUGCAAAAGAAGCAGUCCAUUUUGCAGUGCUAAACAGACUGGCCAUUCUUACAAAUAAAGAUGGAUUGUUAACAAGAAAAGUAUUCUUAAUUCCCUACCCUCAAAUUCUUAACAAGACAUGGU